rnacentral:rRNA from 1 species
GACAGAGGGUGCAAACGUUGUUCGGAAUUACUGGGCGUAAAGCGCGUGUAGGCGGCCCUGCAAGUCGGAUGUGAAAUCCCACGGCUCAACCGUGGAAGUGCAUUCGAAACUGCAGGGCUAGAGUCCUGGAGAGGAAGGUGGAAUGCUUGGUGUAGAGGUGAAAUUCGUAGAUAUCAAGCGGAACACCGGUGGCGAAGGCGGCCUGCUGGACAGUGACUGACGCUGAGACGCG